rnacentral:rRNA from 1 species
GAUGAACGCUAGCGGCAGGCCUAACACAUGCAAGUCGAGGGGCAGCACGGAUUGCUUGCAAUCUGGUGGCGACCGGCGCACGGGUGCGGAACGCGUAUGGAACCUGCCCCUGUCAGGGGAAUAGCCCAGAGAAAUUUGGAUUAAUGCCCCAUGGUAUCGAAUCACCGCAUGGUGAUUUGAUUAAAGAUUUAUCGGACAGGGAUGGCCAUGCGUACCAUUAGCUGGUUGGUGGGGUAACGGCCCACCAAGGCAACGAUGGUUAGGGGCCCUGAGAGGGGGAUCCCCCACACUGGUACUGAGACACGGACCAGACUCCUACGGGAGGCAGCAGUGAGGAAUAUUGGACAAUGGCCGAAAGGUUGAUCCAGCCAUGCCGCGUGCAGGAUGACUGCCCUAUGGGUUGUAAACUGCUUUUACACGGGAAGAAACCUCCCCUCGUGAGGGGAGCUGACGGUACCGUGAGAAUAAGGACCGGCUAACUCCG